rnacentral:rRNA from 1 species
UACGUAGGGGCCUAGCGUUGUCCGGAUUUAUUGGGCGUAAAGAGCUCGUAGGCGGUUUGGUGAGUCGGGUGUGAAAUCUCCACGCUCAACGUGGAGGGGCCACCCGAUACUGCCAUGACUAGAGUCCGGUAGGGGAGUGUGGAAUUCCCGGUGUAGCGGUGAAAUGCGCAGAUAUCGGGAGGAACACCAGUAGCGAAGGCGGCUCACUGGUCCGGUACUGACGCUGAGGUGCGAAAGCGUGGGGAGCAAACAGG